GACGAACGCUGGCGGCGUGCUUAACACAUGCAAGUCGAACGCUGAAGGCCCAGCUUGCUGGGUUGGAUGAGUGGCGAACGGGUGAGUAACACGUGAGUAACCUGCCCCCUUCUUUGGGAUAACGGUCGGAAACGGCUGCUAAUACCGGGUAUUCACUGUCCUUCGCAUGGGGGGUGGGGGAAAGGUUUUUUCUGGUGGGGGAUGGGCUCGCGGCCUAUCAGCUUGUUGGUGGGGUGAUGGCUUACCAAGGCUUUGACGGGUAACCGGCCUGAGAGGGUGACCGGUCACAUUGGGACUGAGAUACGGCCCAGACUCCUACGGGAGGCAGCAGUGGGGAAUAUUGCACAAUGGGCGAAAGCCCUGAUGCAGCGACGCCCGCGUGAGGGAUGAACGGGCCCUUUCGGGGUUGUAAAACCCUUCUUUUCGCUUCAAUGGU
rnacentral:rRNA from 1 species